rnacentral:rRNA from 1 species
AGCAGGUUCCGCGCGAGACUACUCGUAGGUAGAUCUCUGCUGAGGUAGAUGACGAUGUAGAGCACUGAUUGGGUAUUUAGGGGGAGCAAUUCCUCGAUACGCUGUCAAACUCCGAAGUUGUCAUCGCUGUAGACGCGGGGAGUGAGCCACGGUGGGUAAGCUACCGUGACGAAAGGUGAAUAAACCAGCUCAGUGUUAAGGUCCCAAAGUACCAGUUAAGUGUUAAUCUGAAACGGCGUCCGUGGUCGAAGACAACCAGAAGGUGGGCUUAGAAGCAGCCACCCUUGAAAGAGUUCGUAACAGAUCACUGGUCAAGCUUGCGGGCCCGGAAAAUGGACGGGGCUCAAACUGGUCACCGAUACACUGAUCCUUCGAAAGAAGAUGAGGUAGCGCGGCGAUGUGCUCGGGUAGAAGCGAGGUUGUGAGAUCUCGUGGACCGUGUACAUAUGAGAAUCUAGGGAAGAGUAGCAGCAUAGUGCGGUGAGAAUCCGCACCACCGAAAGGGUAAGGGUUCCUCGGCAAUGUUUUUCAGCCGAGGGUUAGCCGGUCCUAAGGUCAAUCUUAACCGACUUGAUCGAAAGGGAAUUGCGUUAAUAUUCGUAAGCCUCUCUGCAAUAAUGGUAACGGCUAAGGCUAGUUCGUGCACUUCAGUCAUGGAGUGUCGAGGCGUUCGAUAAUCGUGUGGAGAACCGUCAUGGUGAGAAACACGAGAAGGCGUGAGUGAAAGACGGAUGAGGCCUUGGUCCCAUGAAAAACCGCAGAAGAUGACCGUACCAAGAACUGACACAGGUACCCAAGGUGAGUAGCCUAAGGUGUGACGGGUAAAGUACCGCGAAGGAACUCGGCAAAAUAGCCCCGUAACUUCGGGAGAAGGGGUGCCAGCUCUGAAGAGAGCUGGUCGCAGUGACAAGAGGACUCCGACUGUUUAAUAAAAACAUAGCCGACUGCUAGAUCGAAAGGUUGUGUAUAGUCGGUGAAUCCUGCUCAGUGCUGGUAUCUGAAACCGGGUUUCAACCUGGCGAAGGACCAGUAAACAGCGGGGGUAACUAUGACCCUCUUAAGGUAGCGUAAUACCUUGUCGCUUAAUUGGCGACUUGCAUGAAUGGUCCAACGAGGGCUCCACUGUCCCCGCGAUAAGUCCGGCGAAAUUGACUUUACUGGCGCACAGUCCAGUACCUUCAACCUGCAAGCGAAGACCCCGUAGAGCUUUACUGCAGCCUGGCGUUGUACAAUCGCACUUCACGUGCUGAGUAGACGGGAGACGUUGAUCCACGGGACGCCAGUCCCGUGAGUAGUCGUCCAUAGAGACACCGUCCUUGGAGUGUAAUUGUACUCACUCUUCAUGAGAACACCGCUUGGUGGGCAGUUUGGGUGGGGCGCCACGCGCUCGAAAACAUAACAAGCGUGCCCAAAGGUCAGCUUAGGUGGUUCAGUCUCCACCGUUAACUGUAAGGGGAAAAGCUGGCUUGACGUGGAUCCGCACAAUGAGGAUCGACGAUGCGAAAGCAGGGCCUAACGAACCUACCAACCUUAUUUAUGAGGGUGGUAGAUAACAGAAAAGUUACCUUGGGGAUAAUUGAGUUGUCACCAGCAAGAGCUCACAUCGACCUGGUGGCUUGCUACUUCGAUGUCGUCUCUUCCUAUCCUGGGCCUGCAGCAGGGCCCAAGGGUGGGGUUGUUCGCCCAUUAAAAGGGAUCGUGAGAUGGGUUUAGACCGUCGUGAGACAGGUUUGUUGCUUGGUGGUAGAAUCGCGUAAGGUGUUUGAUGGAAGAGGUCCUUUAGUACGAGAGGAACGAGGGCUUGGGGCCACUAGUUUACCAGUUGUCUGACAAGGCAAUGCUGGGUAGCCACGCCCUGAUGGAUAAGAGCUGAAAGCAUCUAAGCUCGAAGUCACCCGAAAGACGAGGCAUCUCAGGGGAUUCGUAGAAGACGAGUUUGAUAGACAGCGGGUGUAAGCACCGAGGUUCGCCGAGGUGUUCAGCCCAGCUGCACUAACCCCCCGAGCAUUCAUUUUUC